GGGGCCAUAGCUCAGUGGCAGAGCAUCUGUUUUGCAUGCAGAAAGUCCCGGAUUCCAUCCCUGGUGUCUCCA